rnacentral:rRNA from 1 species
CCUACGGGAGUCAGCAGUGAGGAAUAUUGGUCAAUGGGCUGAAGCCUGAACCAGCCAAGUCGCGUGAGGGAUUAAGGCCCUGCGGGUCGUCAACCUCUUUUUCCGGGGAGCAGAGGUCAGGCCGGGUCCGGGCCGGGAGAGUACCCGGAGAAAAAGCAUCGGCUAACUCCGUGCCAGCAGCCGAGGUAAUAAGGAGGAUGCGAGCGUUAUCCGGAUUGAUUGGGUUUAACGGGUGCGUAGGCGGGCAUUUAAGCCGGCGGUCAACUGUCGGGGCUCAACCCCGGCCUGCCGUCGGAACUGGGUGCCUUGAGUGGGCGAGAAGUAUGCGGAAUGCGUGGUGUAGCGGUGAAAUGCAUAGAUAGCACGCAGAACCCCGAUUGCGAAGGCAGCAUACCGGCGCCCUACUGACGCUGAGGCACGAAAGUGCGGGUAUCGAACAGGAUUAGAUACCCGGGUAGUC